rnacentral:rRNA from 1 species
CAGCCGCCGCGGUAAUACGAAGGGGGCUAGCGUUGUUCGGAUUUACUGGGCGUAAAGGGCGCGUAGGCGGACUGAUAAGUCAGGGGUGAAAUCCCAAGGCUCAACCUUGGAACUGCCUUUGAUACUGUUUGUCUUGAGUUCGAGAGAGGUAAGUGGAACUGCGAGUGUAGAGGUGAAAUUCGUAGAUAUUCGCAAGAACACCAGUGGCGAAGGCGGCUUACUGGCUCGAAACUGACGCUGAGGCGCGAAAGCGUGGGGAGCAAACAGGAUUAGAUACCCCAGUAGUCCCUGUCUCUUAUAC